UUUAAGAUGUGUGUAACUGCUUAUCUUUUAGAAGUGUAGAAUUGGUGCUUUGCGUUUUAAACUCGUGUUCUAGGCUAUUUGAAGUGCAAAUAUUUAACAACAAGCCCAUUCAUUUUUGGGCUAAAUCAAAGCCGAACAUAGUAAUUCAAUUGGGUCAAAUUUUUGGAUCGACUAAGAUUGGGCCUUGUUUAGGUUCCUUGAUAUUUCAGUCUACUGGAACCCAUAACACUCCUCUAAAAUUCUUAUAACCCCCUUCCAAACUUUGUUGUCUAAUACACCUUAGGUUUACUUUGUAAAUACAAGCCCAUAAAUUAACGCAAACCACCAUACUAUAGAACUUUACCCUAAAAGAGUUUUUAUUUUGAGUUUUUAUUUAUAAAAUAUAUAAAAUCCUAAAACUUACAUUAUUUUCUUUUUGUUACGUAGUUUCAUAACUCUAAAUUUUUAUAAAUUUUCUCUAAAAAAUUAUAAUAUAAAUAUAAAUUACGAAAUAAGAUGGUGUAAGAAGUUUUUUAAAAGAGUAAUUUAUUUAAGGGAUGUAAAAAGUUUAUUGAAACAAUAAUUUAUUGCGUUUUGUGUUUAAUUGAAUUUCCUUAAUUUCAAAAUAAUAAAUGAAUUAAUUAAUAUUUAGUUAUUUAGGUAAUUACAACAAAAAAAGGUUUUACAAGGAAUUUAGAGAGAUAUCAAAAGGCCUACUCAUUUAAUUUUUAAUGAUAAGAAGCAAAAUAACAUUCGAGGUUAUUGUUGUUGUUUCUUGUUGUUGAUGCAAUAAUCUAGUCAAGAUCAUUAUUAUGACCAGAUGAUUACGUCAACACAUGAAUUUAUAUUUUCAGGGGAGACGAUGCCACUCAAAUUGGCUUUCUUGAGCAAGUUUUGAUGACCGCGAACACCUAGACUUCAUCUGCAAAGACAAAAAAAGUCAAAGGGGACUGGAUGUUUUUUCAAUAAUAACCCUCCGAUAUUCAAGUCAGUUCUCGGGUCUUGUAAAAAACUUGUGCCACACUUUCAGUGGCUCAAUUGUAACUAUUUUAAGUGAAGAUUUUAAUUCCUCACAAGAACAAAAGUUAUUCAAAAAGUAAAAUUUCUUAAAUUAGAAAGACAGUUUUCCCCUCCCCCAACAAAGAAGUGUCUUCCCUUGACUUAGAUUUUGCAGGGCUUUUAUAAGCAGUCAAAGAUGCCGCGCCACCAUUAACUCGUAGACUUUAGUGGCUUAGUUGAAUGUGUUUAUUGGCUAAUGGGUGAGUGUGCUGGUUACAAGACGGUUGGGGGGUUAACGUGGUAACUGUCUGGAUGUGGGCAUCGUGCCUAAUUUUACGGAGACAACUUGCUAGUCGACCUUUGACUGAGUCAUUGGAUCGACCUGAUUUUGACUCUUCUCAUGGAUUCUUUGAUCGUCCUCAUAUAUACGAGCAGAUGACUACCUCCUCGAGGUACCACUCCUCUCGAGGAUUGCUUAUAAAACAAGGAGGCCACAUUCUACUCGGACGUUUAUCAAGUAGUGGUGUUUUAACCACCCAA
rnacentral:lncRNA from 1 species